AGAUUGAGAUAAGAUCUGGGGAAGAAAUUCUUUGCUGUGAGGGGGGUUGGAACUGGAUGGGCUUCAAGGUCCCUUCCAACUCUAACCAUUCUGUGAUUCUACAGCUUAUCCUGCAGGGCUGGACCUACCUUAGCAAGUACCUUCUGCAGCUUCACGCGCUGCUUUUCUUCUUUGAGCAGGUUGCCCCCACGGUUGGUGUAACGACUCGGAUCAUUUGCUUUCCUCUAGAGCAGGAGGGAGGUCAGGAGAGAACCAAACACACCACCCACUCUCACCCCGCAGGGCACAGCCCCUGGCAGAAGCCAUCCCCCAUCACAAACCACACCAGGGCUCUAGAGACAGCACCCCAUCCCCUCACCGACCCCCCCAGUCUCUCCCAGUAGCACUUUGCCCACAGGAGCGUGCGCUGCCCAGUGACCCAGCACCUUCCCACACGGACAAUACCUCCAGAUCCAGGAACAUCCUCCAGGUGUCUUCCCAUUUCCAGAUAGCCUCAAACAGAGCUUUGUGUGUUUCAUAGUGGCUCUUCAUCUUCCUGACCUCAGCAGCAUGGAGCUCGAGCAGGGUCUCUGUAUAGUCCUCUGGAGAGGACACAAUAGCACGUUCAGUGGGCAAUGACCCAGGAGGCCCCCAAAGGGCAGCCUGCAGCCCCCAGGGCAGUCAGUGACCAGGGAGAACCCACCAUCAUAAUAGGGGCUGAAGCCUUCCCUCUGCUCCUGACUGUAGAAGCACUUGUCCCAGUAGUCAGCCAGCUCUGCCCGGAUUCUCGGAAUCACAGAUUUAAGGUUCUGCAGCAUCAGCUCCUCCAGAGUGUUCACUUCCAGCUGCAGCUGCCAAGGACAUCAGAGCCCAGACUCAGAUAAGGCAGAUGAGGAGAAAAGGAGCAGAACAGGAUUUAUGUCUGUAAGGGACGACUCAUAAUUUCUCCUAAACAAAGCAGCCUGAAGAUACUGUUAAUGUCUCCAACACUGGCAGUACCAGGGAAUCUGCUCAAGGAAUUGAUAAGGCCAACACCCGCUCACAUCGUGUGAGAACGAGAAUGACCAGUUUUAAAGAAACACAACAGCCCUGUUUUUCCUCCCAUGAAGGACGAGCUGUUUCUCCAACAGACGAGGCUGUGCCCAGUGUCGAGCUUUGCCUCAUUAUCCGUGAAAUGAAAUUAAAGUUCACCCCCUGUAUACGCUAA